CUGCAACACACAAACCACUGCCAAAGCAAAAAUAGUUAUAAAACAGUUACAAGUCGGAUCGGAAGAUCAACUUGUGCAUAAUUUGUAGUUGGUCUGAUCUGAACCGAUAGCUCCUCCAGUAUCAAUUAAUGGACGCCAGGAAAGCCCAUAAAGCCUCCUCUUCAUCCUCCUCAUCAAAACGUUGGAAGUACCAAGUGUUCUUGAGCUUCAGAGGUGAAGACACACGCAAGGGCUUCACAGGCCACCUCCACGCCGCAUUAUCUGAUGCCGGAAUCAGCGCCUUUCUUGACGACAACGAGCUAGAAAGAGCGGAAUUUAUAAAAACCCAACUGGAGCAGGCAAUCCACGGGUCCAUGAUCUCCAUAAUUGUCUUCUCCAAGAGGUAUACCGAUUCCAGUUGGUGUCUUGACGAGCUGGUGAAGAUCAUGGAGUGUAGAGAAAGAUUGGGGCAACAGGUUAUUCCAUUGUUCUAUAAUGUUGAGGCUUCAGAUGUCCGGAAACAAACUGGUAGUUUUGCACAAGCAUUUGAGAAACAUGAAGCGGGCAUCUGUGAAGGUAAACAUGAGAACGAAAAGGUACAGCGGUGGAGAAAUGCUCUCACUCAAGCUGCAGAUUUGUGUGGGGAAGAUCUUAAAAAUGCUGACAAUGGGCAUGAAGCAAAGUUUAUCAAGAAAAUUCUUGGGGAGGUUAAUAAGCAGUUGUACAGCAAAUGCCAAUUAGACAUCGAACACCUUGUUGGAAUUACUUCUCGGGUGAACGAUUUUGUUCGCAUGAUUGAUAUUGAAAAUUCAGGUUCUAAGGAUGCUGUUCGCAUGAUUGGUAUUUGGGGGAUGGGCGGUAUUGGGAAAACAACGCUUGCCAAAGCCAUUUAUAACAAAUUUGAAGGUAGCUUUGAAGGUAGGAGUUUCCUUGCAAACGUGAGGGAAGUAAUUGCAAACCAACCCAUUACUGGUCUGGUUGGUUUGCAAGAAAAACUUCUAAAUGAUAUCUUGAAAAGCAAGGACCCCAUAAAGGUUGAUUCUGUUGAUGUAGGGAUCAAUGUGAUACAAGAAAGACUUCACUGUAAAAGAGCACUUGUCAUAAUUGACGAUGUAGAUGAAGUACAGAAGCUAAAAGCAAUAGCUAGAAAACGUGAUUGGUUUGGUCCUGGAAGUAGAAUUAUUAUAACAACAAGAGAUAAACAUUUGCUAGAGCAAAUUGGAGUGGAUGGCACAUAUAUGGCUCAAGAAAUGGAUGAAAAAGAAGCUCUCUGGAGCUCUUUGGUAGGCAUGCCUUUAAAAGUGGUUAUGCUAAUCAAGAAUAUCUUGACCUCUCAAAACGUGUAAUUCGUUACUGUCAAGGCUUGCCUCUAGCUAGCACUUGAAGUUGUUGGGUCUUUUCUGAUUAACAGACCCAUAGCAGAGUGGGAAAACCAUUUGGAGAAAUUGGAAAGAAGUCCUGAUGGAGAUAUUCAAAAAAUACUCAGAAAAAGCUUUGACGGGCUACCUGAUGAUACAAAGAGAGAGAUAUUCCUUGAUAUAUCUUGUUUCUUUAUAGGAAUGGACAAGGACUAUGUAACACAAAUAUUAGAUGGAUGUGGCUUUUCUGCAACGAUAGGAAUUAGUGUCCUCAUUGAACGGUGCCUUGUAACUGUUAGUGAGGAAAACAAGCUAAUGAUGCAUGAUUUGCUUCAAGACAUGGGAAGAGAGAUCGUUCGUGAAAAUGCCUGCGGUCACCCUGAAAAAUGUAGUAGAAUGUGGGAACAUGAAGAGGCAACAAAUGUAUUGAGCAAUGAAUCUGGAAGUGAAGAAAUUGAAGGAGUUGCUCUAGAUUGCCAAAAAAGUGAUGCUCCAGAUUGGCUAAAAAGAUGUACUCUACUUUGGGAUUUGCGUCCAGAUUUGACUAGAUUCAGUGCACAAGCAUUUACCAAGAUGAAAAAACUGAGGUUACUCCACCUCAGCAAUGUAGAGCUCACUGGAGAGUUCAAAGAUUUUCCCAAAACGUUAAUAUGGUUGUGCUGGCAUGGAUUCCCUUUAGAGUCCAUACCAGAUGACUUUCCUAUGCAACCAAAACUAGUUGCUUUAGACCUGCGGUGGAGUAAACUCGAAAUAGUUUGGAAGGAUUGCAAGUUGCAUGAGAAGUUGAAAAUCCUUAAUCUCAGUGGUUCCUAUAAGCUAACAAAAUCACCAGACUUUUCAAAACUCCCAAAUCUCGAGGAAUUGAUAUUGCCACGGUGUGGGAGUUUGUCUGAGGUUCACUCAUCCAUCGGGGAUCUUGGAAGACUUUCUCUGGUAAAUCUUCAAGGCUGCACAAUGCUAAAGGAUCUCCCACUGAAUUUCUAUAAAUCCAAGUCUAUUGAAACUCUUCUACUUACUGGUUGUUCAAGAUUUGAAAAGUUGGCUGAGGGCUUAGGGGACAUGGUAUCAUUGACAACUCUGAAAGCGGAUAAGACAGCCAUAAGACAAAUACCAUCUUCCAUAUUAAAAUUGAAGAAACUGAAAGUUUUAUCAUUAUGUAAUGUGAAAGGGUCGCCAUCAACAUAUCUUUUGCCUCCUUCGUUGCAAAGUUUAAGCUCUUUAAGAAAAUUAGCUCUUGCAUACUGGAGUUUAACUGAUGAUGCAUUCCCCAAGGAUCUCGGUAGCCUAAUUUCCUUAGAAAAUUUAGAUCUUGCAGGAAAUGAUUUUUGCAGCCUACCAAGCCUCAGUCGUCUUUCACAGCUUCAAGAUUUGUCUUUAAUUUGGUGCAGCAAUCUUCGUGCAAUCCCAGAUUUACCAACAAAUUUGAAAGUCUUACGAGCAGAUGGCUGCAUUGCAUUGGAAAAAAUGCCAGAUUUUUCAGAAAUGUCAAAUAUAAGAGAAUUGUAUCUACGUAAUUCAGGCAAACUCACUGAGAUUCCAGGCCUGUAUAAGUCAUUAAACUCCAUGACAAGGAUUCAUAUGGAGAAGUGCACUAAACUCACUGCCGAUUUUAGGAAGAACAUCCUACAGGGAUGGACUUCUUGCGGAUAUGGUGGCAUUUUUCUCAGUGGAAAUGAUAUUCCUGAUUGGUUCGACUAUGUCCAUGACGAUGAUAUUGUGUAUUUCACUGUGCCUCGAAGUGUUGGUCGUAAUUUGAAAGGGUUAACUUUGUCCUUCGUUUCUCUCCAGUCUUUUUAAGUCGUCGUAUUAGCAUUAGCAUUAAAAACAUGACCAAGGGUGCUGAGCUUGAAGCCAGGAU